AUCUCUUUGCCUUUUGGCUUAGAUCAAGUGUAGUAUCUGUUCUUUUCAGUGUAACAACUGAAAUGACCCUCAUUGAGGCUCAUUACCUUUACAAUUAUAUUGUUACAAACACCAAUU
rnacentral:snRNA from 1 species